rfam:Streptococcus ratti FA-1 = DSM 20564 Contig058, whole genome shotgun sequence.
UAAAAGCGGUAUAAAAACACAUUGCAGUUGGUAGUCUGCAAGCAUCAUCAGAUGUCAGUAACCUUCCCUCCAAGGUCGUCCCAUACCAAAUACAUAUCA